rnacentral:rRNA from 1 species
UACGGAAGGCAGCAGUGGGGAAUAUUGCACAAUGGGCGCAAGCCUGAUGCAGCCAUGCCGCGUGUAUGAAAAAGGCCUUCGGGUUGUAAAGUACUUUCAGUCGUGAGGAAGGUGUUAAGGUUAAUAACCUUAGCAAUUGACGUUAGCGACAGAAGAAGCACCGGCUAACUCCGUGCCAGCAGCCGCGGUAAUACGGAGGGUGCGAGCGUUAAUCGGAAUUACUGGGCGUAAAGGGCACGCAGGCGGUUAAUUAAGUUGGAUGUGAAAUCCCCGGGCUUAACCUGGGAAUGGCAUUCAAGACUGGUUAGCUAGAGUCUUGUAGAGGGGGUAGAAUUCCGAUGUGUAGCGGUGAAAUGCGUAGAGAUGUGGAGGAAUACCGGUGGCGAAGGCGGCCCCUGGACAAAGACUGACGCUCAUGUGCGAAAGCGUGGGGAGCAAAUAGGGAUUAGAUACC